CGCACUUAAAAAGAAGUCGACUGAGUAAACGAAAAUACUAGAAAAGAGAGAGAGGGCAGCAGAUCUGAGAACUCAGCAGCGAUUUGUGAUUGAUCAUUCCUUCUGCGCAAAACCGUCUCAGAUAAUCGCUCGAUAGCCAGUGUCGAAUGGAGAAGACAUGCUCUCUGCUUGUACAUUUUGACAAGGGCACCCCGGCCCUUGCAAAUGAGAUCAAGGAAGCACUUGAAGGGAAUGAUGUUCCAGCUAAGAUUGAUGGCAUGAAAAAUGCAAUCAUGCUUUUGUUAAAUGGUGAAACCCUGCCUCAGCUUUUUAUCACUAUCGUGAGAUAUGUGCUGCCCUCGGAAGACCACACUGUUCAGAAACUGCUUCUGCAUUAUUUGGAAAUUAUUGAUAAGACUGAUGGAAAUGGACGUGUGUUACCAGAAAUGAUCUUAAUCUGCCAGAAUCUUAGGAACAAUCUUAUCCAUCCCAAUGAAUAUAUCCGGGGUGUCACCCUGAGGUUCCUUUGCCGGCUCAAUGAAGUGGAUAUCAUCGAACCGUUGAUACCCUCCAUCCUCGCAAACUUGGAGCAUAAACACCCUUAUGUCAGGAGAAAUGCCAUUUCUGCUAUAUCGUCAAUCUACAAACUCCCAAACGGUGAGCAGUUAUUGGUUGAUGCACCAGAGACAAUUGAGAAGUUUCUCUCGACAGAGCAGGAUCAAUCAACUAAGAGGAAUGCAUUUCUGAUGCUUUUUAACUGUGCACAGAAUCGUGCUAUUAACUACCUACUGGCCAAUGUUGACAGAGUAUCAGAUUGGGGUGAAUUAAUGCAGAUGGUUGUCUUGGAGCUGAUCCGGAAAGUUUGUAGGACUAACAAGGCUGAAAAGGGGAAAUAUAUUAAGAUCAUUAUAUCUCUAUUGAAUGCUCCUUCAGCUGCCGUUGUCUACGAGUGUGCUGGAACCCUUGUCUCUUUGUCUUCUGCUCCCACUGCUAUUAAAGCUGCAGCCAACACAUAUUGCCAGCUUCUUCUUUCACAGAGUGAUAAUAAUGUUAAGCUCAUUCUGCUUGAUCGCUUGAAUGAGCUCAAGUCUUCCCACCAUGAGCUUAUGGUUGACUUGAUAAUGGAUGUCCUUAGGGCACUUUCUAGCCCAAACCUCGAUAUCCAAAGGAAAACACUUGAUAUUGUUCUGGAACUGAUUACCCCUCGCAAUGUCACUGAGGUGGUUCUUACUCUGAAGAAGGAAGUCAUGAAAACUCAAAGUGGGGAACUUGAGAAGAACGGGGAGUAUCGGCAAAUGCUCAUUCAAGCAAUCCAUUCUUGUGCUAUAAAGUUCCCUGAAGUGGCAAGCACAGUGGUCCAUUUGUUGAUGGAUUUCUUGGGAGACAACAACAUUGCCUCUGCAAUGAAUGUUGUCAUUUUUGUUAGAGAGAUAAUUGAAACCAACCCUAAGUUAAGGGUUUCUAUUGUCACCAGACUUCUGGAUACUUUUUAUCAAAUUAGAGCAGCUAGAGUCUGCUCGUGUGCUCUUUGGAUUAUUGGAGAGUAUUCCUUAUCUCUUUCUGAAGUUGAGAGUGCUAUUUCAACUAUUAAGCAGUGUCUUGGGGAUUUACCUUUUUUUUCAAUCUCUGAAAAUGAGGAAGAUGCUGAUUCUUCAAAGAAACCCCAGCAGGCUUCCUCAAUCACCGUUUCAUCCAGAAGACCGGCUAUCCUUGCUGAUGGUACUUAUGCAACUCAAAGUGCUGCCUCCGAGACUGCUUUCUCUGCUCCAGCUGUUGUUCAGGGAUCUGUGACCACUGGAAACUUGAGAUCUCUUCUUCUGACUGGUGACUUUUUUCUUGGGGCAGUUAUUGCCUGCACCCUAGCAAAACUGUGUCUAAGAUUGGAGGAGGUUCAACCAUCAAAGGUUGAAGUGAAUAAAGCUUCAAGCAAUGCUUUGUUGAUUAUGGUCUCUAUGAUACAGCUCGGGCAAUCUUCAGUCCUACCACACCCAAUUGACAAUGAUUCUUAUGACAGGAUUCUUCUUUGUGUAAGAUUGCUGUGUAACACAGGGGCUGCUGCAAGGAAGAUUUGGCUGAAGACUUGUCGCGAGAGCUUUGUCAAAAUGCUCUCUGAUAAACAGCUUCGUGAAACUGAAGAAAAUAAGGCUAAGGCUCAGGUUACUCAUUCACAACCUGAUGACCUUAUUGAUUUCUACCAUUUGAAGAGCAGAAAGGGUAUGAGCCAGCUGGAGCUAGAGGAUGAGGUCCAAGAUGAUUUAAAACGUGCUACUGGGGAAUUUGUGAAGGAUGCAGAUGAUGCAAAUAAGCUCAAUCGCAUCAUUCAACUUACAGGAUUUAGUGAUCCAGUAUAUGCUGAAGCUUAUGUGACAGUUCAUCAUUACGAUAUUGUCCUGGAUGUCACAAUUAUCAAUAGAACAAAAGAGACCCUUCAGAACCUGUGUUUAGAGUUAGCAACAAUGGGAGAUCUCAAACUUGUUGAGCGCCCGCAGAAUUAUACUUUGGCUCCUGAAUCAAGCAAGCAAAUAAAAGCAAACAUUAAGGUUUCCUCUACUGAAACUGGAGUGAUAUUUGGAAAUAUUGUAUAUGAGACAUCAAAUGUGCUCGAGCGGACAGUUGUUGUCCUCAAUGAUAUCCAUAUUGAUAUCAUGGACUACAUAUCUCCUGCUGUUUGUAGCGACACUGCUUUUAGGACCAUGUGGGCAGAAUUUGAAUGGGAAAACAAGGUUGCUGUAAACACCACCAUAACAAAUGAAAAAGAAUUCCUUGAUCAUAUUAUCAAGUCAACCAACAUGAGAUGCCUAACUCCAUUUUCUGCCUUAGAAGGUGACUGCGGAUUCCUGGCUGCUAAUUUGUAUGCGAAGAGUGUAUUUGGAGAGGAUGCUUUGGUGAAUAUCAGUGUCGAGAAGCAGGCAGAUGAGAAGCUGAAUGGAUAUAUCAGGAUAAGGAGCAAAACUCAGGGAAUCGCACUCAGCUUGGGUGACAAAAUCACUCUCAAGCAAAAGGGAGGAAGCUGAUGGUAAAUGCUAUCGACUUUUUCUUAGGCGUGGCUUUGCUACACAUCAUAUAUUCAACUGAUACGUACUCAGAUAGAGUGGUUCGUGCACCAAGUAUCUGCGACUCAUUGAUGCUUGCUCCCUUUUGAAACUACCUUCGAGAGGAUACUGAGUGUAUACGUUUACCUUUGGUAUUUACGCCUUGUCGAUUUUAUGGGGGGAUACUACACAAUAUGAGACAAAUUGAACUGUAUUUCAGAAUUAUUCUUUUUGUAGAGCAAAUUGAGAAAUGAUUUUUGUAAUAUCUGCCUUUUUACAUCGCGUCUGUGGCUGUUGAGCGUUGGUGUUUGGGCACUUGUCUGUUCAGAAUAAGUGUUAUAGAAAGCAUUCAACAUAAAUAAAUAUAUGAAAUAGUUGUAUGAAUGUCUUAACAUUA